rnacentral:rRNA from 1 species
GAAUAUUGGACAAUGCGGGGAACCCUGAUCCAGCCAUGCCGCGUGUGUGAAGAAGGCCUGUUGGUUGUAAAGCACUUUACGCGAGGAGGAGGCUACCUGGAUGAAUACUUUAGGAUAGUGGACUUUACUCGCAGAAUAAGCACCGGCUAACUCUGUGCCAGCAGCCGCUGUAAUACAGAGGGUGCGAGCGUUAAUCGGAUUUACUGGGCGUAAAGCGUGCGUAGGCGGUCAAUUAAGGCAAAUGUGAAAUCCCCGAGCUUAACUUGGGAAUUGCAUUCGAUACUGGUUGGCUAGAGUAUGGGAGAGGAUGGUAGAAUUCCAGGUGUAGCGGUGAAAUGCGUAGAGAUCUGGAGGAAUACCGAUGGCGAAGGCAGCCAUCUGGCCUAAUACUGACGCUGAGGUACGAAAGCAUGGGGAGCAA